ACGGGGGGGGCAAGCGUUGUUCGGAAUUACUGGGCGUAAAGGGCGCGUAGGCGGUCAGACCAAGUCGAGUGUGAAAUUCCAGGGCUUAACUCUGGCGCGCUCGCUCGAUACUGGUCGGCUAGAGUGUGGAAGAGGAUGCUGGAAUUCCCGGUGUAGCGGUGAAAUGCGUAGAUAUCGCUAGGAACGCCGGUGGCGAAGGCGAUUUGCUGGGCCGUACCUGACGCUGAUGCGCGAAAGCUAGGGGAGCGAACCGGA
rnacentral:rRNA from 1 species